rnacentral:rRNA from 1 species
CAGUCGCCACGGUAAUACAGAGGGUGCGAGCGUUAAUCGGAUUUACUGGGCGUAAAGCGUGCGUAGGCGGCUUUUUAAGUCGGAUGUGAAAUCCCUGAGCUUAACUUAGGAAUUGCAUUCGAUACUGGGAAGCUAGAGUAUGGGAGAGGAUGGUAGAAUUCCAGGUGUAGCGGUAAAAUGCGUAGAGAUCUGGAGGAAUACCGAUGGCGAAGGCAGCCAUCUGGCCUAAUACUGACGCUGAGGUACGAAAGCAUGGGGAGCAAACAGGAUUAGAUACCCCGGUAGUCCCUGUCUCUUAUAA